AGUAGUUUGAUCAUGGCUCAGGACGAACGCUGGCGGCGUGCUUAACACAUGCAAGUCGAACGGGGACUUCGGUCCCAGUGGCGAACGGGUGAGUAAAGCGCAAAUAACCUGCCUCAAAGAUGGGGACAACAGCUCGAAAGGGUUGCUAAUACCGAAUGUUAUAAAUUUAUCGCAUGAUGGAUUUAUUAAAGAUUUAUCGCUUUGAGAGGGGUUUGCGUCCGAUUAGCCAGUUGGCAGGGUAACGGCCUACCAAAGCGACGAUCGGUAGCCGGUCUGAGAGGAUGAACGGUCACAUUGGAACUGAGACACGGUCCAGACUCC
rnacentral:rRNA from 1 species